ensembl:lncRNA
UGGUAGGGGUUGUCGUUGGGGUAAUGGUAGGGGUUGUUGUUGGGGUAAUGGUAGGGGUUGUGGUUGGGGUAAUGGUAGGGGUUGUUGUUGGGGUAAUGGUAGGGGUUGUCGUUGGGGUAAUGGUAGGGGUUGUCGUUGGGGUAAUGGUAAGGGUUGUUGUUGGGGUAAUGGUAGGGGUUGUCGAUGGGGUAAUGGUAAGGGUUGUCGUUGGGGUAAUGGUAGGGGUUGUGGUUGGGGUAAUGGUAAGGGUUGUCAUUGGGGUAAUGGUAAGGGUUGUCGUUGGGGUAAUGGUAGGGGUUGUCGUUGGGGUAAUGGUAAGGGUUGUGGUUGGGGUAAUGGUAAGGGUUGUGGUUGGGUUUGAUAUAGUAGUUUCUUCUGUCUGUAUUGUCA